rnacentral:misc_RNA from 1 species
GAUGGUUGCUUGUUCUAGACUUAGUUCUUCAAGGUUGGGUAGUCUUGAAAGUGUAUCGGAUGUCACAACGAGCCCUAUCAACUUCAGUAUCUUCAAGCUCAAAGGGAAGCCAUGUGUAUAUUCAGCGAAUGAAUUCCGAGGAAAAACAAAUAAAUUGAGUUGUUCAAGUUCAUUAAGGACAUCCAAUCUUGGAAAACAUAUCUUCUCUUGUAUCUUCUCUUGUAUUUGUUUGCAGAUAUGGACUUGAAGGAUUUUAAGAUUAGGAAACCUUUUGA